rnacentral:lncRNA from 1 species
UGCCAGUAGUGGAAAUUAGAGUUUAGUUUUGAUUGCAGCCGGUGAUUUAAGCGACAAAUAGCAUUCUGCACGCGUAUAUGCAGUUUCCAAUCUAUAACCUGUGUGAUCUGUGGUCAUGUGUCAUGGCGUUACUGCAAAUUCUGGUGUUGGAAUAGUGGUGCUGGAAUAGAAAGGAAAAGUGUAGACGAAUCACCAAAUUAAUCCAGCACAAUACGAAUGGCCAACUGAAAGCGAAUGCAAAGAAAUAUGGAAUAUAAACUAAUAAUUUAAAACCAAUUUUUAAAUAUUAUUCAUAAAAAAAUCAAACAUCCUAGUUACGCUAGUUUUUUAAUAUACAGAGUCAUUCAAAAUUGGCGUCAUUUCUCAACAUUAUUGAUCAAAUAAAAUACAAUUCUGUUGUUAAAACACAGUGUUCCCAAGAGCAAGAAGUCCUGCUCUUGUUUCACUCCAAACACCUAUCUUUGUGUCUCAAUCACUUUGAAGUCUGGGCUCAUAUUUUGAGCAGAUUUUUAUGUUCGGUUAAUUAACUGCUGCUCAAUUUGAACCGGUGUUCGGAAGAUCAGAGAUUUAGUGUGUUCUAGUGUCCCGUACAUAUUACAUACAUGAUAGGAAUGUAGGCCCUUCCAUGGGGGAGUUAUCGGGACAAUUAAGUAUCCGGUGAUUGAAAAAGUGCAGUUGUUGUGCAACUUCAAGUCCUCCUGGAAGGCUCAGCUGCAAUAAUCUCCAAUACCUGUUGCUCUAGGUCAGGAAAGCGAGCAUCUUUAGAUUGUCCACUAUCUGCGUUCAUUUCGGGCCACUCGUCUAGUGUGUAGCUCUUUGCUGGUGUAAGUUCUGACAGCUUCUGCUAUGUUACUGUGGCAUUUUCCCAUAACUAAUCGCAUAUUCACAAAUUCGCUGUUGGUUUUCAUUUUGUGAAAGAAGCUCCAAAAUAAGCCACGGUUUGACAAAUGCUUGUUAUUAUUGACAAAGGCUGUCUACCUGUAACCAUCUGUUAAUGACAAAAAACAUCAUUGCCGCUUUUCACUUUUUUUUCACUUGCGGCGAAAUUUUUUUCUAUAUAUUUUUCGUUCUCUCGAAGUCGGCACCUAUAUACCCUUAAAAGAAAUGAUGCCAAUUUUGAAUCCCCUUGUAUACAUUUGUAUAUGUGGUACAGAUAAUCCGUUUUUAAGUUUUACUUGUAGUUAGCGAAUAUACUUCUAACAUCAGGUUAUAUUAAAAUUUACGCAAUAGGAUCGAUGCAUAUGCUUAAUUUUUCAAACUUUUCUUUGGUAACUUUAGAUUUAGAUAUUAAACUAUAAGUGUUUUCCUCCUAAUUAUGCAGUGUUUUGUAGGUUUAUUACAAUACAGAUACAGAGGCAGCCAUAUUCAGAAUUUUUUAUGAAAGUUUUUAUUUAUUAGCUUACAUAUUAGUAUAUACAUCCAAUAAGAGUUAAAAAUGUUAAAAUUAUUUAUAUUGCACCUCAACUUAUAGCUUUUCGUUUAACAGUUUUAAAUUUGUUGGUCGGAUAGUUUUAGUCUUUAGCUUUAGCUGUGGGUUAGUUGAACAUACUUUCAGAUAUUUUGUAUCUGAAAUACGACUAAACCUUGUCUUUUAUAUUACGAAGUAUUUCAGCUUUAGCUUUUGAAUUAUUCUGAAUGAUGACUAUUUAUGCGAAUAAAGCCCUUUAGUAUAA